AAAAUCUUGGAAGAAAGAGCGCGUUGCUAAGACUUGAAAGUACUGCUCUCCUACAAGCUCCAUAUCUCCACCUGAAGUCUCCUUGAGGUAACCUUGAGCCAUCCACAUCUUCACCAAUUCAUCUUUGUCCAUCUCGUAGUCUUUUGGAAACAUGGCACAAUACAAGAAACAUCGUCUUACCACAGAAGGUAAAUCGUAGUAACUCAAAAGCAAAGGUGGAAAUAGUCCUCUUUCAACAUGUUCUAGCUCCCACAGUUCGCUAGAUAAAACAUGUUCCCACUCUUCUCUUGUUCUUUUAGACUGCAUUAGACCUCCUAAUACCUUGGCAGCUAGAGGCAAGCCCUUGCACUUGCUUGCAAUUUUGUCGCCGAUUUCUGUCAAUCUUUCGCACUCAUCUUUGCUUCUUUUAUGGAAUGCCACCUGAUUGAAUAUUGACCUGCAUACCUCAUCAGACAAUUUCUCAAGGUUGAUCACGUGGUCAGUUCCUAUCAUGGUUGCCACAGAAUGUUUACGACUGGUCACUAGAAUUCUGCUUCCUGUUGCACCGCCUUUGAGAGAUAGUUUCAGUGGUUCCCAUUGUCUAUGAUUUUCUGUCCAGACAUCAUCUAGGACAAGAAGGAACCUCUUUCCCUUAAUUGAUUCAGAAACACUUUGCAAAAGGGAUUCCAAUUCAACUAAAUUCGGUGCACCCCCUUGAAGCGCCUCAAGGAUAGCUUUUGAUAUCCUAACCUCAUCGAAUGGAUCUGAUACACACACCCAUAUCUUUUUCUCAAAAUGAGCCGUAACCCGAGCAUCAUUAAAAGCUAGUUGGGCGAGAGUUGUCUUUCCAAUCCCGCCCAUUCCUACUAUAGAGAUCUCCACGUCCCCUGCUUCCUGAAUACUUUCGCCCAGCAACUUGCUUACUACAGCUUCCCUUUCAUCAUCUCGACCACGCACGAUUGAUUCAUCAACAAGGGAGGUACUUGUUAUUCGUUGUAGUUCAUCAGUGGCUCUGUACAACUCAAAGCCAAACAUAGCUCUCUCUUUGGUAAUCUCAUCCACUUUUUCACAUACUUCUUUGAUCUUGAGGGCAAUGUCGCGACGUCGAGCCACUUGAUUGAAACAAAAGCAAGGAGAUCCCAGGAAGGAACAUCGCAUCUUCUGUAGGCUGCGAGUAUUUUCUUCAACUUCCUCCAUUUUCCAUCUAAGAAUUGCAGUGCUCCAUUCAUCUAGCACGUCAUCCAUAUCAUAGCAUACAUCUUUGAGCUUGUCUGCCCAAUCCCUUACAGCCUUAUCCUUCACUUGUUUUCUAUCUGCAUCUUCAAGGACAGAUUGGAUAGCAAGGAGAUUGCUUUUCAGCUUGUCGACUUGUUUCUGCACACCCCCUACUAGGUUCACUUCUUCCUGUACCUAUUGGUGUAGAAAAGACCAGAAAGUUCAAGCAGAGGAAACAGUUCUAUGAUUUCACUACAAGUUUUUAAUUUUAAUUUUUGGGAAUUAAUAGAUUAAAUAAUUUUUAUUAAUCUUUUUUCCGCAUAGUUCACACGUACAGUGAAUUGGAUUGGCUAUAUUAUAAAUUCAUAUAUAAAAUAUUUAUUAAGAACCUAUAUAUUAAAAAUAAUAAUAUUUCUUUUUAUCAUCAUCAUGAUGAUAUCUCUGUCUGCACUCUGCUACUAUACAAGAAAGGAAAAAAAUGAAUCUUAAAUUGUUCGACGUCAAACCUGUAUAUAACAUAAGCUUGGCGGAUCAAAGAAAUAUAAAAGGAAUAAAAGGAAAGUGAAUAAAAGGAUCUGUAUUUGUUGUUAUUUGUAAAGUCUAUAAUAAGAUUAUGGAAGAAAAAAAAGACUUAAAUUUUUAUAUUUCUUAUCAUGUUACGGUUAAUUCGAUCAUUGCAAAUUGUAUAAAAGUAAUUACCUGUUGAGCAACGACCGUGGUUAACUGCUCCAAAAUUGGCGAUAAAAGUGCCUCUGCCAUUUGUCUUUUUGGUUUAAUUUUAUUUUUAAAAAAGAGAUAAUUAUGAUGAUGAACUGAGAGAGAGAGAGAAGAGUGUGAGGGGAAGGAGGCUGCUGGUUGUGAAAUGAAGAGAGAGGGUUAGUUUAUGUACUUGGGGUUUGGUGAUGAGGGUUGACUAUUGUUUCCAUCCCUGUACUGUUUCUAACAUUUCAAUUCAGUCCCUGUAUUAUUGAACGUUUCAGUCUAGUCUCGGUCAGGGGUUUCCAUCUGCGGAUGGCUUUUCCUGAUUGUAUGUUUCUACUGAGAAUGACAUGCCAUUUUGAGUUCCAAAGGUGAAACACUCGUGCUUUUCUAACUUUUCCUGGCUAAGGAUUAUUAUUUGUGGAAAGUAAUUUCUUCUUCGAUUUAUAGCAAUUAUUUUGGAUUGAUACUGACCUUAGGUUAAGAAUGCUGUAGUUUCUACUGAAAUGUAUCUGAUACAGACCUUAGGGACAACUGAUUAUAGCAUUCUUCUCGUCUGCUUCUCUAUUUCUUCUCUUCAUUUUAUGUUAUUCCACUAGUCUUCCAAACUGGAUCACGGUGAUAUAUAUCUGUCCAUCCAAACUAAUUUACCCAAACCAAAAGUAGUAACCAAUUAGCUCGUGUAAUGGAACUAUAAACAAGCAUCUAUCUUUCUGGGUUUUUGAGAUCAGGUGAUUUUAUCCUGUUUUCAUAGCAGGGACUGGGGUUUGAUAUUGAUCUUUGAUUUUACCCAAACCAAAAGUUUGAAAGGAUUGCUGGUUUGUGUGAUUGGAGCUCCUUUCAAUGGGUGUGAAAAGGCCAAGAAAUGAGCAAGAUUUUCUGGAGGAAAGGAUUCAUAUUGUCUGGACUCAAUCACCUUCCUUUCUUCUUCUUCUUCUUUCUGCAGGAAAAAAGUAGAGCAGAGCAACCCUUUUUGACAGAGGCUAGUAAGUUGCAGAAGUUAGUAAGAAGUGGAUCAUUGAGCAACCAAAUAGCCAAGAUGUCUUAUUUCAAACCCAAGUACAGAUGAAUGCCGUAUUUUUAUUUUUCUAAGGAACUGCAUAUUUGUCCCCCCACUUCUUCUUUUUCUGUUGAAACAGCGACAGGGUACGUGUACUCUAGAAAAUAUUUAGAAUGGAAACAAAUAGAAAGUAGCUUAAAAUUGUGAAAAUAUUGUUUUUAAAUUGUUUAUUUCAAACCUAAUUAAUAAUAUGUUUUUGUUUUAGAUAGUUUUUGUGAUUCUGAUUUGAAAAAAAAUAAGUUUUAAAAAAGUACAGCUAGCUGUGAUUAAUUGAAUUUAAAUACGUGUUUAAUAAAAAUUAUGGUUAAAGUUUAUGUAUAAUAAAAAAUAUGUAUAAAAUAUUUGAUAGUUAUGUUUGAGACUGUGGUUGUGAUUGUUUUUUAAAGUGUUUUUUACAUUAAAAUAAUAUUUUUUUAUUUUAAAAAAAUUAUUUUUGAUAUCAGUGCAUCAAAAUGAUCUGAAAACACCAAAAAAAUAUAUUAAUUUGAAAUAAAAAAAAAUUGUUUUUUACCAGUAAAUCAAAGUGUUUUUUACCUCAUUUUUCCUUGAUUAAUUCUAACUACGAAACAGCUACUGCACCAACAAGAUGGAAAAGGCUCACCAAGAUGUUCUCUUUGAAAAGAUUCUCAAUGAGUCGUUGACAUCUCAUACUUGUCUAAAAAUUUUAAUCUUUUUUUGGAAAAGAUUCUCAGUGAGUCUGUCUCCUGGCUUAUUGAUCAACACUUUUAUCAUAUUGUGAACAAACAUGUCAAUUUCCAGAAUUUUAUUGAGUAGGAUGACUGUAUAGAAUUACUCUGAUUUAUCAACACAUAUCAAAUUCUUGCUGCUGCUGAGGAAGAUAUCCUGCACUUAGCCAUCAUAGAGGGUAGCAAGGUUUUGUGUUGAUGGUAAUUACACUGACUCAUCGUCUAUCAUCUAGAAUUCAAUUUUAAAAAAUAUUGCAAGAAAUGUUUUUUUUCCUAAAUACAUCGAUCGGGUGUGGAUAGAUUGAUUACAAAGCGACUUCCUAAAAAGUCUUGGUCUUAAUAUGCAAAGAUGAUCCAAGUAUGCCAUAUAUUAUUUUUUUAAAAUAAAACCCACAUAUCUAGUCCACGCAAAGGUACUCGAAUAUGGAUUUGUAAAAAUAAAAAUGAAUAUUUAUACGAAAUUGAAUUGUGCAAAUAAAACCCACAGAUCUAGUCCAUGAUCUACGGCUCCUCCAGAGUUCCGUAGUGGUGUCUUUCUCAACUAUUCUUUAAAUAAAAUGUUUGGGAUGUGAGAAAUCUUGUGCCUAUCUUCACCCCUCUCCUCCUUCCCGUAACGUUUCCUUAGAGAAUUUAUGUAGAGGCGCUGUCAAAACAUAGGCCGGUAGUGCUCUCAACAAUGGGCAUUUGAGAAUUCUAAACUCACAAGUUGUGGCAUGAUGAAUAUUGAAGUCGUGGUGGAAUCUUCUUCUCCCACUCUCCUUUCAAUCCCAUCCCACUCUUCUAGUUCUUUGAGAUGCCAAAUGCUGAGUUUUUUCAAUUUAGGGAAAGGAGAGUGGUAGUUUUUUCAAUUGGGGCAAUACUCUUCCAAUUCUCUUUCACUAAUAUUUAUUGGUGGAAAAAAUCACUGAUAGUAGUUUUAAAACACUCAAAGAAAAUAAAACAUAUUGUUUUAUUUCAACAACAAGAAGCUUACAAUAAUUAAACAAAAGCUUUUAAUACACACCCUCUUUUUCUCUCUAGUGUUCAUCUCUUAUCUUUCCCACACACAAUUACAUAAACUUACCUAUCUAUUUAUACACAAAUUAAAAGUAAAAAAAAAAAAAUCAAACUUCAAGUGUGAAGGCGGCUGGUGGCUAAACAGUGGGGUCCUUUUGUAUUUUGUCAAAAGAGAUGAAAUUAUAAUCAAUGAUGAUGAUAUAUAUAUAUAUAUAUAUAUAUAUAUAUAUAUAUAUAUAUAAACUACUAUGUGCAUUCUAUAAUUUAGUUAUAUAAUACAAUAGAUCUUUACAAUUAGUGAUUUCAACUUACCAAUAGAGAAAUUAUAGUAGAUCUUUACUAUGAUAUAUUCAAAAUAAAUAAAUAAAACAGGUAUACUUCAACACGCAUAUUAUACAUACACUUCUUUUUUAAAAAUUAAUCAUAAAAAAUUGAUUAGUUAUUUAUUAUAAAAAUCAGACCUGUAAGUUAUAUCUAAAUCAUUGAAAAUAGUAAAGGUAAACUAAUUAGAAGAGACAAUGUAUUUCAAAUUAGUUAAUUUAUAUAGAAUUAUUUUAGUUACUAAAUUAAAAAAUUCAAAUUUUUAUAUCACUUGGAAUACAUAAGGUGGAUUUAAUCCACAAAAUCGAUGGGUGAUAACCUCUAAGAUAUCGAUGGGUACAUAUAUGGUGGAUUUAAUCCACAAAAUCAAUAAGAGACCAAUCGGCUAGCUCCAAAAUCAAACCAUCUCCACCUCAUUCAAACACGAUUUAAAAUAAUCAACACCACCUUUUUAUACAAUGUGGGAUUAAUGAGGAUAUAAAUCCAAGGCUCCAACAUCCAAAGUCUCAAUCUUAGAUUUAUUAGCUAGUAUAGCAACGCCUCAUUGGCAAGAACCCAAAUCACUAAGCUCAAAUUACUAAUAAAAAUUAUAAAUUUUCAGAUAAUAUUUUUAAUAUUUAAUCUUUCUAGCAAUUGAUGAUAGCAAUUGCAAAUGAAUAGAGGAGGAAGCAUCGAGAUCAUUGGCUUGUUUGAAGGCAAAUGGACCCUUUGAUCGUUAGAUGAUGCAUCUAAAUGAGGCUCCACAUUAUAAAAGCGUAAUUAGGUGGCACGCGCUAUCCCACAAACUCACCUUAGAUUUUCAAAAUAAAAUUAGAUGGAGGAUCCAUGUCUAUUUGGGUCCUCCCUAGACAGGACCCCAACAUAUUCGGGUCCAGUAACGACCAGGUCCAAGUCUAGCGUUGGGCUAGGUUGGGUAGGACCCAAGGUUAUUUGGGUGUACCUGGCAGAAUCCAAGAUUGUUUUUGAGUCCUGCAACUAAUAAUUAUAUGUAAUUUCUAAAUGAAACUAAAUGUAAAAUUAAAUAUAAUUUGAUAAAAUUAUUAUAAACAUUUGGUAAAAUUAGUAAAUGAUAUAACAUUUUCUUUCAAAUUCAUCAAUUAUUUAAAUAUUAAGUACAAAAAAUACUCUUAUGAAUUUUGAUAAAAAUAAUAAUAUUUAUAAUACAACUGAUAACAUUUUUAGUAUUAAAUUAUUAAUUAAUAUAAAUAAUAUUAUUUAUAACACCAAAAAUAAUAAUAUUUUUGAGAUUAAUACUAUUAAUUAGACUAAAAAAUAAUAUUAAUAAAACAAAUAAUAAUAUUUCUAAUACUAAUACUAUUAAUUAUACUAAAAAUAUAUAUUAAUAAAAAUAUAAAAUACUCUUAAUAUUAAUUAUACUAAAAAAAUAUUAAUAAAACAAAUAAAUAUUUUAAUACUAACUUGUAAUUAUACUAAAAAUAUGGGCAGCCCAAGCGCUAAGUGAUGCUUGGACUACACUCAAGAGAAAUCAUAUUAUUUUAAAAUAUUUGUCCACUAAUUGCUAUUGAAUUUAAAAUAAAUAUACUUUUAAAACUAAUAUAAAGUUACCAAUAGUCGAUUUGAUAGCUGCUUGCAUAAAAUCUCAUUGAAUUUGGCCAAUGGUUUUUUAGAAUAAAGUAAAAAAAAAGUUAUUUCAAAACAUAACCAAAGUAGUUUUAGUUAUUUGUCAGAAACUAGUAUAUCCCAUAAAAAUCAGAGUUUUGGAUGAAAUAAAAUCAAUUCUAAAAUCAAACGCCGAUUGAAGCUUCAACGCAUUUGUGAACUAGAGAAUUUAAUUAUUAAACUCGUUUGUUUCGCGUUCAAAAAUAUUUUAAAAUUAUUUUAUUUUUUAUUUAUUUUUUUGUUUUUUAAAUUAAUAAUUUUUUUAGUAUAUUUAGAUCAUUUUAAUGUGUUUAUAUAAAAAAUAAUUUAUAAAAAAUAAAAAAAAUUAUUAUUUUAAUAUAUUUCUAAUAAAAAAUACUUUGAAAAAUAAUUAUAAUAAUACUGUCACACAUGCUGUUUAAUGUUUGUUCAAAAAUUGUGCUUUUUAAAAUAUGCAUUCUAACGCAAAGAAAGCAUAUAAAACACAUCAAAGUUGCAAAAGUACGUAGUUUUAAUUAUUAGCAAAAGUAUUCUAAAAUAUGAAAAGAUAGGUUUAAAUACCCUAAAUAUCCGUAAAUAACUAGAAAAAAAUUAAUAAAACUAAAAUCCAAAAUUAUCAAGGCAAAAAUCUAAAAUAUGGUCUGAAACUUCAAAGGCAAUUUUUUUAGAGUGGCAUUUGGAGAAUUUAAGUAAGGAAAAAGCUUCACGUGAGCGAGAUAAUAUCAUCUUAGAUUAAUUCUUUAACAUGUAAAAUUUAAGUCUAAUUCAAUAAUUAAAUAAAAAAUUACCUCUUCCUGCCGGUCUUAACUAUUCUUUAAAUAUAAACAUAUGAAUUACAUAUUAUUUUAUAUAUGUUGAGAGAGAGAGAGAGAGAGAGAGAGGAUGUAUACUAUAUAUAUCACAGCUGCCUUUGAUAGAAUAAAUGGUAAGUAGGAAAUACAAUCCAAAGUCAACAUUAUACAGUAAAGAGGUAUAUGAAACAUACCUCGUCCUGCCUGUCCUACAGAUUAUGGUAAGUCGGAAAUCGAAUUACAGUAAAGAGGUCACAUAGAGUAAAUAGUAAGGCUUACAUAUUAUUUACACUCAACCUUAGCAAACACCAAAGCAAAUAAUUAAUACACUCAGAACCAAAUCUUUUACCGUUAAGAAUUAACACUGGUGGAAGAAUUUAUCAUCAAAAUAAAUGUUUGGGAUGUGAGAAAUCUUUUGCCAAUCUUCACCCAUCUCCACCUCCUUCCCGUAACGUUAGAUUGGGGCAACCAUAUGCGUAGAUCCUGUAUAGGCGCUGCCAAAACAUAGUCUGGUAGUGCUCUCAACAACGGGCACCAACGAAUUGUCAACUGUCGAAGUUGUGGCAUAAUGGAUAUUAUUGAAGUUGUGUUGGCAUCUUCUUCUCCCACUCUCCUUUGAAUUCCAUCCCACUCUUCUACUUCUUCGAGAUCCCAAAUCUCAAGUUUUUUAAUUUGGGGAAAGCAGUGACCCUUGCAAUUUCUCCUUCCUUAAUACUGGCAUUCUCAUCUUUUUCUAUACCUAAAAAUCCACCAUCCAGCCUUCUCACCUUCAAAAGUACCAGGUGUUCAAGGUUGGGCAAUCUUCCCAACGGAGGCAAGAACUCCACGUUUUCACAAUAACGGAGUGUCAGCACCUGUAAUCUGGUCAAUGUCAUCAUCCAAUUUGGCAAUUCCAACCCUCCGUAACAAUAUAUGCUUAGAUCUUCCAAGUCUGACGGAGGCUGCAAAGCUUCAAUUAAAGAGCCUUCAUGCUCUGGCAACACUGUUUUCUCUCCGAAGAAAUUCAAUACCAAACGAAACAGGCGCUUCUUAUUCUUGAGUUGUGCUUCUGCAGCGUCACUCGCAUCUUCUUUACCUCCUCCUAGAUUCCGUAUCUGAAGACUCCCUCCAAUGUGAUUUAAGUUUUUUAAUUCUCUUAGAUUAGCUGCUUUACUUUCAUUCUCACCACCACCACACACAGUAAACACAUCUAAUGUACCAACAGGUGUGUGGCUCAAGUGGUGAAGGGGGCAGCUCUCCUUUCAUCGAACCCAGGUUCGAAUCCCAGUGGGAGUGGGGCUGGAGAGUUUGCUCUCUUCCUAUUUCUCUUGGGUCCUCCCUGUGCGGUAUCCCUGUCACCCCCGCGGUGUCUUACCUGCUCACUAGGGCUUGCAGGAUGUUCAGUGGGCCGUGGGAUUAGUCGUGGUGCGCGUAAGCUGGCCCGGACACCCACGUUAUCAAAAAAAAAAAAAAAAAAAAAAAAACACAUCUAAUGUUUAGUUAUAUAAUUGAUCAUCGUGGCUACAAAAUGAAGUGGAACUAAUAAUUAAUGGAGUGGAAUACUAAAUAAAAUGAAUUGCUAUGUGUAUUCUAUAAUUUAGUUAUAUAAUAUAGGCAGAUAUGUACAAAUUAGUCAUUUCAACUUAUCAAUAAAGAAAUUAUAAUAGAUUUUCACCGUGGUAUGAUCGCAAUAAAUAAAAUAAAAUAGAUAUAUCUCACAGCAUUAAUAAUUUUUUAGUUUUUGUUAAACAAUGUCAACAUAUAUAUAUAUAUUAUACAUACACUCAUUUCUUUAAAAAUAAUUAUAAUAAAAUUAAUUAGUUAUUUAUUAUAAAAACCUGACCUAUGAGUUAUGUCUAAGCUGUUAAAAAUAGUAAAAAUAAAAUAAUUUGAAAAUAGAAUUAUUAAUUAAUUUAUAUCAAGUUGUUUUAUUUAUUAAAUUAAAAAAUCCAAGUUUUAUAUCACCUAGAUUACUUAUGUUGGAUUUAAUCCAUAAAAUUGAUGGGUAUCAUCUCUUAUAUAUGAAUCGAUGGGUAUCAAGUUACAUGCCAUCUUGCAAAUUAGAAUAAUAGACCACUCGACUGGCUCCAAAAUCAAACCAUCUCCACCUCAUUCAACACGAUUUAAAAUAAUCAACACCACCUUUUUAUACAAUGUGGGAUUGAUGAGGAUAUAAAUCUACAGACUCCAACAUCCAAAGUCUCAAUCUUAGAGUUCUUAUCUGGUAUAGUAACGCCUCAUUGGCAAUAACCCAAAUCACUAAACCCUAAAUCACUAAUAAAAAUUACAAAUUUACACCGAAUUUGAACAAAUUUCUACCAGCCGAUGUCACUAAACUCAAAUUACUCCUAAAAAUCUCAAUAUAAACCCAUUAACUACUAGACCAACAACUCAUUGGCUAGAAUCCACGUUGCUUUUCCACAACAAUCAUCAGCUUCUUCAAUUAGGAUGCUACAAGCCCUUGUCUAUAUACUAGCUUAAAUUGCAACAACCUUUGAUUCCGAGAGAAGUUUGGCCUGAUCCAACGGUAGUCAAUGCGUGCUCAAUCUGUACUAGCUUUCUGGUAGGACUGAAAGUAGUGAGAGAAAAGGAGUACUGGCUAUCACCCAUGGUUUAUUGCUUGAAGACGCAGAGAGGAAAAACUGCGAAUGCGAGCGUGUGGGAGAGAAAGGCAAGGAUAUUUACUUGGGGUUUGAACUUUGCUUUUCUUGUUGGAGAAGGAGGAGUUUUCUUACGAGGGCUUUUACAAUGGAGUAUUUUGGGCUUUUAUGACGGCAGGUUGGUUCUCUUUACAUUGAGCUCAAUGAAGGCUUUAAUUUUUUAAACUUAACUUUAUCCGGGUCAGUUCACGGGAGAAGUUUAAUUUUUUUUUUUUUAAGAAAAUAAAAUAACAUUAUUUUUAGUACUUUUUUAAAAUGAUAUUUUACCUGAGUCCACAGGCGAUGUAUAAAGUUUUUUUUAUUUAAAAUAAUAUUUUUUUUUUAUUUUAAUAUUUACUUACUAUUUGUAUACUAAAACAGUAAAACAUGUGAGAUUUUCACUUUAUAUUUGUUACUGUGCAAAAUUUUAUUUUUUAGUUUAGUCCUCAAACUUUAUUUUUGAACUAUCAAGUCCUAUUUAAAAAACAAUUGAUUUUAAAUUCUGAUAAAAAAUUUGGAUUGGAAGAGAGGAACUGAAAUGAAAAACACGAUAGAUAUGGGUAACGCACCUUAAAUUUUUAAAACAUUCUCUUUGGUCUUCCAACUUAAACAAUCACACAAAUUAUAUAAUUUUGGUACCUCAAAAUUGUUCCAAUUCCAUUUUGGUGCGAAGAUUUAUUUUUGUUAUUUUCUAGUUCCUAAUUAAGAGAGGAGAGAAAGAAAGGGGUCACUAGAUUCCAAUAAUAAAAAGAGAAACUUGUCGUUGACACCAACUUAAACCACUAAAAUAAGGGAUCUUUAUGUCAAAUUAUUAGGGGAGUUCCUAUUAGAUGUUUUUGUAACUUAAAAGUUCAUGAAAAAAAGGAUCUAAACUCGGGUUAAUUUUUUUUAUUUUAGACUGUGUUUGGUUUUUUAGGCAGUUUUUUGGAUCUAGUAUGGUUUCCCGAUCCAAGUACCUAGGGUCUGGCAUAGUUGCUAUAAAAAUAUAACUUUAAAGAAUAUAAUUAAAAACAAAUAAAGUGACGUGAUUAGUUAAAAACUAAAAAUAAUAAUAAAAAAAAAGACUUAACCUCAUUUUUUUGUUGUUCAGAAGGCUUCUUUUAAAUAAUAUUAAUUUUUUUUAUGAGUUUAAUUUUCAGAGAGGUUUUCUAGUGUAUUUAUGGUUUUGUUUGUCUUUUAUAUAAAUAAAUUAUAUUUUGAAAAUAACAAAAUAUUUAUUUUCAGAUAAUAUUUUUAAUAUGUAGUCUUCGUAGUGAUUGAUGAUGCCAAUUGUAAAUGAAUGGAGGAGGAAGCAUCAAGAUCGUUAGCUUGUUUGAAGGCAGAUAGACCUUUGAUCAUUAGAUGAUGCCUCUAAACGAGGCUCCAUAUUAUAAAGGCAUAACAAAGAGAGGAUGAGAGAAAUAAUUAUAGACCAGUUAGGUGGUUUGUGCUACAUCGCGGGCUCACCUUUAAUUUCUAAAAUAAAACUGGGUGAGUACCCAAGUCUAUUUAGGUCCUUUUCAAAUAGGAGCCAAGCAUAUUUGGGUUCUAUCGCGGCCAAGCCAGGUAGGACCUAAGGUUAUUUGGGUCAUGUACCUGGCAGGACCCAAGGUUAUUUUUGAGUCCUACAACUAAUAAUUUGUAUUUAAUUUUUAAAUAAAACUAAAUGUAAAAUUAAGUAUAAUUUGAUAAAAUUAUUAUUACAAUACAUUUGGUAAAAUUAAUAAAUGAUAUAACAUUUUCUUUCAAAUUCAUAAAUUAUUUUAUUAAUAAUAUUAAUUACAAUAAAAUAUACUCUUAUAAAUUUUAAUAAAAAUAAUAAUAUUUAUAAUACAACUGAUAAAAUUUUUAGUAUUAAUAUUAUUAAUUAAUAUAAACAUAAUAUUAUUUAUAACACCAAAAAUAAUAAUAUUUUUGAGAUUAAUACUAUAAAUUAGACUAAAAAAUAAUAGUAAUAAAACAAAUAAUAAUAUUUUUAAUACUAAUACUCUUAAUAUUAAUUAUACUAAAAAAAACUAUUAAUAAAAAAAAUAAUAUUUCUAAUACUAAUAUUUGGAAUUAUACUAAAAGUAUGUACGGGCAGCCCAAGCGUUAAGUGGCGCUUGAACUGCACUCAAGAAAAAGCAUAUUAUUUUAAAAUAUUAUUUGUCCACUAAUUGCUAAUAUAAAUACACUUUUAAAACUAAUAUAAAGUCACCCAGAGUCAAUUUGAUAGCUGCUUGCAUAAAAUCUCAUUGAAUGUGGCCAAUGUUUUUUAGAAUAAAGUGAAAUAAAAAGUUAUUUCAAAACAUAACCACAGUAGUUUUUAAUUAUUGGUCUAGAAACUUUAGUAUAUCUCAUAAAAUCCAUGAGUUUUGGAUGAAAUAAAAUCAAUUCUAAAAUCAAACUCCGAUUGAAGCUUCAACUGCAUUUGUGAGCUAGAAAAUUUAACUUAUUAAGUUAGGUUUGUUUUUGCAUUUUAAAAGCGUUUUUAAAAAUUUUAAAUUUAUUUUAUUUUUUUCUUUGCUUUAAAUUAUUUUUUUUUUGUGUUUUUAGAUCAUUUUGAUGCGCGAAUAUCAAAAAUAAUUUUUAAAAAAUAAAAAAAAUAUUAUUUUGAUAUAUUUCUAAGUAAAAAUCAUUUUAAAAAGUAAUCACAACAAUAUUUUCACACAAUCUCUUCAAAACUUGUGCUUUUUAAAACAUGCAUUCAAACGCAAAGAAAGCAUAUAAAACACAUCAAAGUUGCAAAAGUAUGUAGUUUUAAUUAUUAGCAAAAGGGUUUAAAUACCCUAAAUAUCCGUAAAUAACUAGAAAACAAUUAAUAAAAAAAUAAUAAAACUAAAAUCCAAAAUUUUCAAGGAGAAAAUCUAAAAUAUGGUCUGAAAUUUCAAAGGCAGCUUUUUUAGAGUGGCAUUUGGAGAAUUUAAGUGAGGAAUAAGCUUCACGUGAGCGAGAUAAUAUCAUCUUAGAUUAAUUUUUUUAACAUGUAAAAUUUAAGUCUAAUUCAAUAAUUAAAUAAAAAAAAUUACCUCUUCCUGCCUGUCUUAACUAUUCUUUACAUAUGAACAUAUGAAUUACAUAUUAUUUUAUGUUGAGAGAGAGAAAGAGAGAGAGAGAGAGAGAGAGAGAGGAUGUGAGAGAGAGAGAGGGGUGUAUAUAUAUAUCACAGCUGCAUUUGAUAGAAUAAAUGGUAAGCAGGAAAUACAAUCCAAAGUCAACAUUAUACAGAUAUUUGACUCACAAUAAAUCAUCCAUACUCUUAUAAAAAAUAAAGAUGGGUAAACUCUUAAUUAGGCCUUGCUGCUGAAUUUUGUUGUUGAUUUGUAAUUUAAUUAUUGUUGAAGAUUUUUUGUGUUGGCAACCCAAACUAUCAUUGUGUUGGGUUUGGAUAACUUUAUUUGGAUUUAAUCUCCAAAAUCGAUGGGUAUCAUCACUUAUAGAUGAAUGGUUUAGCUUCUCUCAUUUUUUUGGAUUUAAUCCACUGAAACUGAGGUUUAAGAAUUUCUUGGAUUUAAUCCACUGAAACAGUUGCUUGAUCAAGAUCAUUGGCUUGUUUGAAGGCAGAUAAAGGCUUAAAAAAGAAGAAGCAAAUAUCAUCUUAGUUGAAAUUUCAAAGGCAAUUUUUUAGAGUAAAGAGGAAAUAAUUAAUACACUCAAAGCAGGUUCUAAAGAGUUCUGUCUUUCUCACCAAACAUGCAAAUAAAUCUUUGGGAUGUGAGAAAUCUUUUGCCAAUCUUCACCCAUCUCCUCCUUCCUACAGCUGUAACGUUUCCUUAGAAUGGGGCAACCCCUUAUCCCCAAUGCCUGCAGAGGCGCUGCCAAAACAUAGUCUGGUAGUGCUCUCAACAAUUGGCAAUAUUCAAUUCCCAAGUACUGAAGUUGUGGCAUAAUGGAUAUUAUUGAAGUUGUGUUGGCAUCUUCUUCUCCCACUCUCCUUUCCUUCCCACUCUUCUACUUCUCCGAGACCGUCCAUCCAAAGUUUUUUUAAUUUGGGGAAAGCAGUGACCCUUGCAAUUUCUCCUUCAUUAAUACUGGCCUUCUCAUCUUUUUCUAUACCUAAAAAUCCAGCAUCCAACCUUCUCACCUUCAUUGAGCUCAAUACCAGGCUUUCAAGGUUGGGCAAUCUUCCCAACGGAGGCAAGACCUCCACGUUUUCACAAUCACGGAGUGUAAGCUUCUGUAAUCUGGUUAAUGUCAUCAUCCAAUUUGGCAAAUCCAACCCUCCGUAGCUAUACAUGGUUAGAUUUUCCAAGUCUGACGGAGGCUGUAAAACUUCAAGUAAAAUGUCGUUCUCCCGGUUGAAGUCAAAAUCCAAUUGCAAACAAAGCAGGCGCUUCUUAUUCUUGAGUUGUGCUUCUGCAGCGUCACUCGCAUCUUCUUUACCUCCUCCUAGAUUCCGUAUACGAAGACUCCCUCCAAUGUGAUUUAAGUCUUUUAAUUCUCUUAGAUUAGCUGCUUUACUUUCAUUCUCACCACCACCACACACAGUAACACAUCUAAUGUUUGAAGACAUGUUAUCCUCUCUACUCCCUUUGGUAUGAAGGCCACACCUGAAAGAACAACCCGGAGAUGCCUCAAUUUGAUAAGUUUUCCAAUCGCAUUAGGCAAUUCCUUGAGAGAAGCACACAGAGUAACGUCUAGGGAUUGCAGAUUGCAUAAAUCACACAUGGUUUCUGGCAGGGACUCCAACUGAUAACAAGAUGCCACAUUGAGGUGUCUCAAAUGUAUCAAAUUCCCUACCUCGUUUGGUAUUUCUUUGAUUGAAGACCUUGUCAAAUUCAAUGACCUGAUGCAUGUCAACUGCUUGAACAAAUCAGGCAGUGCAACUCCAAGCGAAGGGUCUCUAGUGUCCAUCAAGAGGCUGCGAAGACCUUUUGCUUUGUGAAUGGACUUGGGAAACGAGCUCUCCUCUGACAGCAUCAUGCUUAAAUGACGAACCCUUUCAAUUGAAGUCUCCACUGUUGCUUUUCCAAGUUUACUGGCAUCCACUGUUAGACAUUCAUUUUUUGUCAUAUAUUGGGAAAAAUCAUGCACUAUAUCAUGCAUCUUGAAUUUCAUUCCUUCACACCAAUCCAUCUCAAAAUCUUGGAAGAAAGAACGCGCUGCUAAGACUUGAAAGUACUGCUCUCCUACACCCGAAGUCUCCUUGAGGUAACCUUGAGCUAUCCACAUCUUCACCAAUUCAUAUUUUCCCAUCUUGUAGUCUUUUGGAAACAUGGCACAAUACAAGAAACAUCGUCUUACCACAGAAGGUAAAUCGUAGUAACUCAAAAGCAAAGGUAUAAAUAUGCGUCUUUCAACCUGAUCUCUAUCAACCUCAUCUAGCCUCCACAGUUCGCUAGAUAAAACACGUUCCCACUCUUCUCUUGUUAUUUUAGACUGCAUUAGACCGCCUAAUACCUUGGCAGCUAGAGGGAAGCCCU
rnacentral:lncRNA from 1 species